CCCCAGGUGCGGCGCCUGCUGGAGGAGCUCCCCCCCGCGGUGCCGCCAGCGCCGCCGCUGACGGUGUCGCCGGAAGCCAUAACGCUGCGGGAGCCCGAGGUGCCGGCGCUGCCCCCCCCCGAGGCGGAGCUGCCCGAAGUGACCGUGCGGGAGCUUGAGCUGCUGGCGGAGGCCGAGGCCGAGCUGCUGCCGCCGGUGGAGGAGAUUCCCGAGGAGGUGGCGCCGCCCCGCCCCC